rnacentral:rRNA from 1 species
CCGGGGUGGAGUAAUGUCUGGGAAACUGCCUGAUGGAGGGGGAUAACUGCUGGAAACGGUAGCUAAUACCGCAUAACGUCGCAAGACCAAAGAGGGGGACCUUCGGGCCUCUUGCCAUCGGAUGUGCCCAGAUGGGAUUAGCUAGUAGGUGGGGUAACGGCUCACCUAGGCGACGAUCCCUAGCUGGUCUGAGAGGAUGCCAGCCACACUGGAACUGAGACACGGUCCAG